UGGGGCGUAGCCAAGUGGUAAGGCACCGGUUUUUGGGUCCGGCAUUCGUAGGUUCGAGUCCUCCCGCCCCAGCCA
rnacentral:tRNA from 1 species